UAUGUGAUCGUCUCUCGCAUAUCAAUAAGCGGAGGAAAAGAAACUAACAAGGAUUCCCCUAGUAACGGCGAGUGAAGCGGGAAGAGCUCAAAUUUGAAAUCUUAAAGGGUUUCCCUUUACGAAUUGUAGUUUAAAGAAGUGUUUUCUGUUGAGGUUUUGGUAAAAGUUCUUUGGAAUAGGACAUCAUAGAGGGUGAGAAUCCCGUAUUUGACCUUUACUUUCAACUUUGUGAUACACUUUCAAAGAGUCGGAUUGUUUGGGAAUGCAGUCCAAAAUGGGUGGUAAAUUUCAUCUAAAGCUAAAUAUUGGCGAGAGACCGAUAGCGAACAAGUACCGUGAGGGAAAGAUGAAAAGAACUUUGAAAAGAGAGUUAAACAGUACGUGAAAUUGUCAAAAGGGAAGCGUUUGACACCAGUGUUGUUUUUCUGAAAAUCAAUUAAAGAACUGUUUAUGCUAAGCUUGUUUAGACUUUAUCAGCUAACUGUUUAGUUUUGAGCUUUUCUUUAAUGCACUUUUCAGUUAACAAGUCAACAUCAAUUUCUUUUGCUGUAAAAAAGCUUGAGGAAGGUGGCUUGAGAUUCGUCUUAAGUGUUUAUAGCCUCUUGCCUAUGCAGUCGGAGAGAUUGAGGUCUGCAGCGUAGAUCCUUCGGGGCUAAAUGCAUUUGUGCUAAGUUAUAAGCAUUUUAUAGACAACUUGUUGACUAUGAUUUGUCUUGUAGCUUACUCGCUUAUGUUAUUUUACCUACGCUUAGGAUGUUGAGCGCAUGUCUCUCUCU
rnacentral:rRNA from 1 species